GUGCUCACUUCGCCACUACCUAUACUAAAAUCGCAACGCUACAGAGAAGAUUAACACAGCCCCUGUGCAAGGAUGACGUGCAAAUUCGUGAAGCGUUCCAUAUUUUU
rfam:Tupaia chinensis contig90569, whole genome shotgun sequence.